AUUGAACGCUGGCGGCAGGCCUAACACAUGCAAGUCGAGCGGAUGAAGGGAGCUUGCUCCUGGAUUCAGCGGCGGACGGGUGAGUAAUGCCUAGGAAUCUGCCUGGUAGUGGGGGAUAACGUCCGGAAACGGGCGCUAAUACCGCAUACGUCCUGAGGGAGAAAGUGGGGGAUCUUCGGACCUCACGCUAUCAGAUGAGCCUAGGUCGGAUUAGCUAGUUGGUGGGGUAAAGGCCUACCAAGGCGACGAUCCGUAACUGGUCUGAGAGGAUGAGCAGGCACACUGGAACUGAGACACGGUCCAGCCUCCUACGGGAGGCAGCAGUGGGGAAUAUUGGACAAUGGGCGAAAGCCUGAUCCAGCCAUGCCGCGUGUGUGAAGAAGGUCUUCGGAUUGUAAAGCACUUUAAGUUGGGAGGAAGGGCAGUAAGUUAAUACCUUGCUGUUUUGACGUUACCAACAGAAUAAGCACCGGCUAACUUCGUG
rnacentral:rRNA from 1 species